GCCUUCGGGUUGUAAACCGCUUUUGUCAGGGAAGAAAUCUUCUGAGUUAAUACCUCGGGAGGAUGACGGUACCUGAAGAAUAAGCACCGGC
rnacentral:rRNA from 1 species